rnacentral:rRNA from 1 species
UACGUAGGGCGCGAGCGUUGUCCGGAAUUAUUGGGCGUAAAGAGCUCGUAGGCGGCCUGUUGCGUCCGCUGUGAAAUCCCAGGGCUCAACCCUGGGCGUGCAGUGGAUACGGGCAGGCUGGAGGCAGGCAGGGGAGAACGGAAUUCCCGGUGUAGUGGUGAAAUGCGUAGAUAUCGGGAGGAACAUCGGUGGCGAAGGCGGCCUUCUGGACGGUGACUGACGCUGAGACGCGAAAGCGUGGGGAGCAAACAGG